AGUGGGCUGAACCAGUACCAGGCUGCAAUCAAGUGGAGUUCAAAUGUUUCCUCAGAGAGCCUGGGAUGAUUGCUGCCACGGGGAGGGGGAUUCAAAAGGACUUUGGCAAGAAGCAGAGAGCAGUGCAGAUUCUACACUUCCCAUCAUCUCUGCAAGACAAAGUGUGAUAAAGUAUAGAUGUAGAUGUGCUCUUCUUUGCUGCUUGCAAUGCAACCUUCUAUGGAAGGGAUUAGCAUUCUGAUCCAGACCCUGCUGAAGCCCACUGGAAAUAUUUCUAUAGGACUUAGAGCCAAAGAAUAUGUCUAUACUGUCUGGUAAAAUGGCCCCAAAACUAGACUCUGUAUGCCAAAUCUGUAAGCAUGAGUGGAGGAGAGCACAGUGUCUGGAGAGCUCAGAUUGUGCCCAAGCAGUCAUAGUCAGCCAUACUUACAGGGAUGGCUGGGUGGAGAAUGGGAUGAAUAGGACGGACUCCUGGCUUAGGGCUGUUCUGAAGGCUGCUCUUUAAGUGCAGUUGACAUGUAGUCGAGAACACAUUUGGGCUCCAUGCCACCAGGCACCUUCUGUCUGAAUGGUUUGGGUUGGAAGGGACCUUAAAGAUCACCUAGUUCCCACCCCCCGCCAUGGGCAGGGACACCUUCCACUAGACCAGUUUGCUCAAAGCCCCAUCCAACCUGGCCUUGAACACUCGAGGGAUGGGGUAUCCAGAACUUCUCUGGGUAACCUGUUCCUGUGCCUCAACACCCUCACAGUAAAGAAUUUCUUCCUUACUUCUAAUCUAAAUCUACACUCUUUCAGUUUAAAACUCUUACCCUUUGUCCUAUCACUACAUGCCCUUGUAAAAAGUCCCUCCCCAUCUUUCCUGUAGGCCCCCUUCAAGUACUGGAAUGCUGCUAUAAGGGGUCCCUGGAGCCUUCUCUUCUCCAGGCUGAACAACCACAACUGUCUCAGCCUGUCCUCACAGGAGAGGUGCUCCAGCCCCCUGAUAAUCUUUGUGGCCUUCCUCUGGACUUACUCCAACAGGUCCAUGUCUUUCCUACGUUGUCAAGUUAUGUCCUUCUUAAGUUAUCAAGUCUUAACAUCCUGAGACCAGCCAAGACGUGAUCAUUUUGUCUUGGGACACAUCUGGGUAGUCUACUGUAAAUUGUCCUGUGUACAUCUGUGAAAAGCACGAUGAGCAGAAAACCUCCUUUAUAAGGCCAUUUAUUAAUAUUAUGACUGAACAGGGAGUCCAUGUACACGAGACAUGGGAUAAAUCUGAAUAUUAAGCCACAAUUCCACAGAUGGAAUCCAUUCUAAAUAUUAAUUUUUUUCUGCAGCAGUGGGCAUUGUUUUGCAUGUUUUGUUUUUCCAAAAGCUUCUUUUUUCCUUAGUUGAUCUCAGUGACCUCUUCUGUAUCUUCGUUAACCCAUUUCUCUUGGGUUUUAAUUUUUUUCCUUCAAACAUUUUCCAGCAUAAGGUACCUUUUUUGCCUUAAGUCAUAUCUGAGUGCUUUAAUUUCUUUACCUAUUCUCACAGCAAGUACAAAAUGCACCCCUUGUAGAGAAGGGAAAUGGAGCCCACAGAGAUUAAAUGAUUAACCCCAGUACAUCUGUCACACAGCAGAAAACUGAGAUCAGGACUUCUAAAUCCAAGAUUAGACCUUCACCAACUGAACAAAGCACACCAGACAAUUAAGGUCCUGUGAGGUCCUACAUGGUCCUGAUAUGGCACAUGGCCUUGCCAGAUGUUCAGCAAGACCCUGGCAGCUGGAAACAUAUAUCAGGCUUUUAAAGAUGCAUCUCCUGAGGUGGCAUCCCCUAGGGCGCAGGCAACGUCAGGGCUUGCUGUGCACUGGUAAUUUUUGCUUUUCUUCAUAUAUUACAAUCCAGGUUGCUCUACACGGUAAGUUUCUCCAGUGAGUUCAGAGGGUUUCCAAAGGUGGCGAGGAAGGCUUGCGUCUAACCCAAGAAGGCCAGGAAAAAAGAACACAAUGUCCACUCCCAAUGCACUCUUUUGAAGGAGGGAAAUAGUGAUCCCACGGUUAAAAAGCAGCACUGAAGGAACAGGAAAAGUGAUGUCAUUUCCCUUGUGUGACAAAGAGAUGCUCCAGUCACACAGGUUCGUGUGACGAAGCUCAGCAAUAUAAGGAAGGGUAAUCUGGAGGGGAUACUCAAGAGAUGUGAGCUACUAAGGAAGUGUCAUACAUCAUACUGAGAUGCUCGUGACUGAAGAGAAUGCACAGACAGGGAAUGUGUGAGCUAGAGAAAUAAAUGUGUGCUACCCAUGAUCACUGAUUGUGCUAAGAUCUUGUUUCACAUGCUCUUGUUUCAUACAGAUCCCUUAGUACUGUAAAUCUCCUUCCAGUCCCUAAAAUCAUUAGAAACAAAGCUGUUUCUUAGCCCUUGAAGACAUAAGCUUAAAAGUGACCUUAAGAAACUAGAAAGCCUCAUGGUUUCACAUAUUCUGGCACAGAGACCUGUGUACUAGCCCUUCAGUCAGUAGCUUCUCCUAUAGCAAAUCCACCGUGCAAAGUAAGGGGGAUUAAACACAAUUCUGCAUAUUUCAAAACCCAGACAGUUUUCAGGAGAAAUUAUCUGUCACCCUAAUCCCUGCAGCUCUGUUUAUCUCUGAUCAGAAAGGGGAGUGCCAAAUUGGCAUACUGAUUCAUGUACCAAAAAAGAGCGUGCCUAUAAGCACAGAUCAUGAUUUGCAUACUUAUUAGCCUUGACUGCCAGGGAACAUUCUGGUUCCUUUGUAAGCACAGAAACAGUAAAAAUAUGCUAAUAGCAGCAUAUCAAAUUUGGGCUUUAGCCAAUCUGUCAAUAUUGAAAUUACUUGCCUGUAAAAUAGUGGGUAAACAACUUGCUGUACAGGAUGAUCCAAGGCAUGAUUUGAACUUGUUGAAAUUUAGUCAUUUUGUGCCUGAAAAACUCACAGAUCAGAAAGCGAAACAUAAGCAUACAUGCAAGACAGAUGUCACACUGACUUUCUAUUUGGUUAUCUGUUUGCUGCCUUCUUUUCUGCUUUGUGGCUCAUUCAAGAAGCUGUGCGUGGGGUCAUUUCCAGAGAGAAUCACUUAAAUCACGGUCAACAUACGUCCUCCAUAUAGACCACAUUUCUCCUCUUCCUGUACAAUAAAGACAAAAUGUUGCCUGGCAUAAACUUGAUAUAAACCCAAGUGUCCUGAUUUUGGCUGGAAUAAAAUUAAUUUUCUUCCUAGUAGCUGGUAUAGUGCUGUGUUUUCGAUUUAGGAUGAGAAUAAUGUUGA